UCAGAGUGGCCUGGUGGCCACCGCCACACCAGCCACUAUUUUCUCCUUGUAACGGUUGGGCCUGUUGAGAACUAGGUUUCGUCUAAGGCAGGUGGGAUGACUCCAAGGAAGUCCUUGUGCCAGGCUGGCUUCUGUCUGUCCUACUGAGUCUGGUCACUGGCCCCCAAGGGACUGCCUGUGACCAACACUAGCCACAGCCUGUCUCUGCCCGUCUGUUAUGGACUCUUGCUGAAGACACAAAGGCCUAUCCCUGACCUUUCUCUUUUUAAUGUAAAAACAUUUUUGAUGUGUAUGGGGUUUUUAUUUGCAUGUGUCUGAGCAUCCAUGUACAUGCAGUGCCUGCCAGUGGAGUUACAGACAGCUGUUAGCCACCAUGUGGGUGCUGGGAAUUGAACCCAAGUCCUCUGGAAGAGCAGCCAAGGGCUCUUCACCCCCGAGACAUUUCUCUAGCCUUCUCUUGGAUAUUAUUGUACCUCUAGCCCACAUCCCAGAAUAAGCUUUCUCCCUUUCUGUUCCUGGAAUGGGCAGGUGGGCUGGGGAGGGGACUUGCCUUUUCAUGUCCCUGGAAGAAAUAGACCAGUCUCUGUCCUGGAAGAGUCUUCAGUUGGGCAAGGGACCCCAAUGGGAGGGGAACCAGAGCAGUGACUGAUCUAAAGGUCAUGCCUGCCACAGUGAAGUGGAUGGCAUUUGGAGUAACUCCAGGGUCUAGGGGUCUUAGGAACAGGGCUUCUUUGUAUAGACGUCAGGAGUGGGGUGGGAUAGAGGAGGCAAACAGUUGGGCAUUGACUUAGAGCAGCAGGUCUCAACAUGUGGGUCAUGACUUUUUUGCAUUGAAAAACAUAUUUACAUCACGAUUCAUAACAGCAAAGUUACAGUUAUGAAAUAGCAGUGAGCAUAAUUUUAUGUUUGGGGUCACUACAACAUGAGGAACUGUUGUAGUGAGGGUCACAGCAUAAAGAAGGUUGAGAACCACUGCUCCAGAGCAUAGGGGAUCGAUGGGGGUGCAGCCAGGGGCGGGGCCUAAACAUCGAUUCUCAGGGCUGGACCUUGGGGAAGAACUGCAGAAGUUGGGUUUCAGUAGCUGUAGCCUGGGCCCUGGAUAAACACCUCAGAGAAAGGCUAAGUGCAAAGGGAAGUCCGGUUAUGGUUGAAAGAAGAGAUCAGAAGGCGGUGACCAUGAGGCAAGCCCGCGAAUGUAGCAGCCAAAGCCUGAGGUGGCAAUACUUCUCCAGGCACGGGGAUCUUGAGUCUGAUAUAAGGAAGUGGUAUGCUCUACUUUAUCCACCUCACAUGGAGGUUUGAGUGCCCCCAGCCAGCCCGUGAGGACUUGCCUCUAAGGGAACGGUGUGCAUUUACCUAAGGAGCCAUGUGGCCACGACUUGGGAGGACGGAUCAUGCUGGAAGAGAAGGGGAUCAGCUGGCGCACAAGCCUCUCGGACACUCCCACUAGCUCGGGUGGCUGUCUUUAUGAUGUCAUACUUUGCGUUCCUCCCACCGUAACCACUCCAGUCGGGGCAGCUUUCUUGGUGGCCCAAUGUCAUCUCCUGGGGCGACCCGUGCUUCUGCGAGCGUCCCCAUCACUGCCAGCUCCGCGCCCGAGGUCACAGUGGCCCACAUUUCUGUCUCCAGUCCACCUUGGUUCGGCCACUGCGACCCCACUGAAACCAGGCGGGGUCAGAAAGCAGAAAGGGCUUGUAGUCUCCACGAAGGCAAGACGGCAGGAAAGGCCGAAGAGCCCCCAAAAGGCACUGCUGUUCCUAAGCCUGAGGCCACUACCAUGGUUAUGACCGCCGCUUCCACACCCACCCCAGCCCCGCUCAGCACCGGCCAUGGCUCUAGUCCCAGGGUGACUUCCAGGAAAGCCCCGCCGGAAUAGCGGACAGCACCCUGAAUCCAGAAACAACACUCCACAUGUUUGGGCCAACGUUCUCCAAGGGCCCAGAUAGUGGCCAGAGCAGAUUACAAUGAAAAACCACCAUA